AACGAACGCUGGCGGCAUGCCUAACACAUGCAAGUCGAACGAGACCUUCGGGUCUAGUGGCGCACGGGUGCGUAACACGUGGGAAUCUGCCCUUGGGUUCGGAAUAACAGUUGGAAACGACUGCUAAUACCGGAUGAUGACGUAAGUCCAAAGAUUUAUCGCCCAAGGAUGAGCCCGCGUCGGAUUAGCUAGUUGGUGGGGUAAAGGCCUACCAAGGCGACGAUCCGUAGCUGGUCGAGAGGAC
rnacentral:rRNA from 1 species